GACGAACCGUGCGAACGUUGUUCGGAAUUACUGGGCGUAAAGGGCGCGUAGGCGGCCAACUAAGUCGGAUGUGAAAUCCCCAGGCUCAACUUGGGAACUGCAUCCGAUACUGGUCGGCUUGAAUCCGGGAGAGGGAUGCAGAAUUCCAGGUGUAGCGGUGAAAUGCGUAGAUAUCUGGAGGAAUACCGGUGGCGAAGGCGGCAUCCUGGACCGGCAUUGACGCUGAUGUGCGAAAGCUAGGGGAGCAAACGGG
rnacentral:rRNA from 1 species